UGCGUAGGCGGAUAAAUAAGUCAGUGGUGAAAUCUUUCGGCUCAACCUGGAAACUGCCAUUGAUACUGUUUAUCUUGAGUUCGGUAGAGGUAGGCGGAAUGUGUAAUGUAGCGGUGAAAUGCUUAGAUAUUACACAGAACACCAAUUGCGUAGGCAGCUUACUAUGCCGACACUGACGCUGAGGCACGAAAGCGUGGGGAGCGAACAGGAUUAGAUACCCUGGUAGUCC
rnacentral:rRNA from 1 species